GUGAAUCAUCGAAUCUUUGAACGCAAAUUGCACUCUCUGGUAUUCCGGAGAGUAUGCCUGUUUGAGGUUCAGUGUAAAUAAAAAUAGGUGUGGUUGCUUCCUUUCGUGGUCACUCACCGGAUUUGGGUUGUCGUGCCUUCGGUUAAGUGACAUAAAAUGUUGCAUGACUUUUUUCGAACGUAUUUUAAUGAUUUUACGUACGUUUACGAUGUCGAUUACUAGUA
rnacentral:misc_RNA from 1 species